GUUAAUGUAGCUUAUCAUAAAGCAAGGCACUGAAAAUGCCUAGAUGGAUUAUACAAUCCCAUAAACA
rnacentral:tRNA from 1 species